AGAAUCAACGCUGGCGGCGUGCCUAACACAUGCAAGUCGCACGAGAAAGGGUAGCAAUACCUGAGUACAGUGGCGCACGGGUGAGUAACACGUGAAUUAUCUACCUCCGAGUGGGGAAUAACUGAGAGAAAUCUUAGCUAAUACCGCAUAACACUUACGAGUCAAAGCAGCAAUGCGCUUGGAGAGGAGUUCGCGGCAGAUUAGUUAGUUGGCGGGGUAAUGGCCCACCAAGACGAUGAUCUGUAUCCGGCCUGAGAGGGCGCACGGACACACUGGAACUGAAACACGGUCCAGACUCCUACGGGAGGCAGCAGUGGGGAAUUUUGCGCAAUGGGGGAAACCCUGACGCAGCAACGCCGCGUGGAGGAUGAAAUAUCUUGGUAUGUAAACUCCUUUCGAUGGGGAAGAUUAUGACGGUACCCAUAGAAGAAGCCCGGCUAACUUCGCGCCAGCAGCCGCGGUAA
rnacentral:rRNA from 1 species